rnacentral:rRNA from 1 species
AGUGGCGGACGGGUGAGUAACACGUGAGGAACCUGCCUCUGAGAGUGGGAUAGCUUCUGGAAACGGAUGGUAAUACCGCAUAACAUGGCGAAACCGCAUGAUUUUGCUAUCAAAGUAUUUCGCUCAGAGAUGGCCUCGCGUCUAUUAGAUAGUUGGUGAGGUAACGGCUCACCAAGUCGACGAUCAGUAGCCGGACUGAGAGGUUGAACGGCCACAUUGGGACUGAGACACGGCCCAGACUCCUACGGGAGGCAGCAGUGGGGGAUAUUGCACAAUGGGGGAAACCCUGAUGCAGCGAUGCCGCGUGGAGGAAGAAGGUUUUCGGAUUGUAAACUCCUGUCGUAAGGGAAGAGAAAGGACUGUACCUUACAAGAAAGCUCCGGCUAACUACGUGCCAGCAGCCGCGGUAAUACGUAGGGAGCGAGCGUUGUCCGGAAUGACUGGGUGUAAAGGGAGCGUAGGCGGGAUGGCAAGUCAGAUGUGAAACCUGAGGGCUCAACCUUCAGACUGCAUUUGAAACUGCUGUUCUUGAGUGAAGUAGAGGUAAGCGGAAUUCCUGGUGUAGCGGUGAAAUGCGUAGAGAUCAGGAGGAACAUCGGUGGCGAAGGCGGCUUACUGGGCUUUUACUGACGCUGAGGCUCGAAAGCGUGGGGAGCAAACAGGAUUAGAUACCCUGGUAGUCCACGCUGUAAACGAUGAUUACUAGGUGUGGGGGGAUUGACCCCUUCCGUGCCGCAGUUAACACAAUAAGUAAUCCACCUGGGGAGUACGACCGCAAGGUUGAAACUCAAAGGAAUUGACGGGGGCCCGCACAAGCAGUGGAGUAUGUGGUUUAAUUCGAAGCAACGCGAAGAACCUUACCAAGUCUUGACAUCCUUCUGACCGGUACUUAACCGUAUCUUCUCUUCGGAGCAGGAGUGACAGGUGGUGCAUGGUUGUCGUCAGCUCGUGUCGUGAGAUGUUGGGUUAAGUCCCGCAACGAGCGCAACCCUUAUCUUUAGUAGCCAGCGGUUUGGCCGGGCACUCUAGAGAGACUGCCAGGGAUAACCUGGAGGAAGGCGGGGAUGACGUCAAAUCAUCAUGCCCCUUAUGACUUGGGCUACACACGUGCUACAAUGGCGUAAACAAAGGGAAGCAAAGCUGUGAAGCCGAGCAAAUCUCAAAAAUAACGUCUCAGUUCGGACUGUAGUCUGCAACCCGACUACACGAAGCUGGAAUCGCUAGUAAUCGCAGAUCAGAAUGCUGCGGUGAAUACGUUCCCGGGUCUUGUACACACCGCCCGUCACACCAUGGGAGUUGGGAAUGCCCGAAGCCAGUGACCUAACCGAAAGGAAGGAGCUGUCGAAGGCAGGCUCGAUAACUGGGGUGAAGUCGUAACAAGGUA